UAUGGAUAGGUUUCAUGUCUCAUUUAGGA
rnacentral:piRNA from 1 species